AAAUAUGAUUAAAAUAACACACUAAUUUUUUAUUUUUUAUUUUGACGUGUAACUCAACUAUUUCCCUUUCUCACCUUCACUUCAUCGAACUCAUAAUCUUACUCUCAUUCUGGAUGAACCAAUUUCAUUUUUUCUCCAAAUCUAGGGUUAGUAUUUCAAAUGCAUCAUCACUUGUCCUAACCUUUCUUGCGAAAACCCUUUACCUUCUCGGCGACCACUGCGUCUCGACAAGUUUACUGCCGUGAGACCACGCACACAUAAUCCCAGCUGCUUCCACAUCACAACUAUGAAUUUCACUGGCCUUGAUACUUUAUUGGACUGAUUUGUUAGGUUUUCAUGGAAUUCUCAUCUUUUCUUGGUUUACUAUACAAUCCAUCAUGUUCAUAUUCCUUUCUGAUGUGUAGCUGCAAAGGGAGACGAUGCACAAGAAUGUGAUAAGUUUGCCAAGUAUUAUCAUGCUCUUAGCCCUUGUGAAUGGAGAAAAAGAGAAUCGGAUAUUGAGGAAUAACACCAAUGGUCGCCAAUCUUCAUAUGCUAAAAGAAAAAAUUGAAUAGUCAAAAAACCUAUUGAAUUAUCUAUACUAUGUGAAAUAGAUAUCAUGCUUCUCAUGUUUUCUCUGGGUGGACAAGCUUCAUUAUGCAGAUCAAGGUACAGGUACUUUUUUUUUUGGGUUAAUUUGUGUAUUUUUCUUUAGAAUCAACUCAUUACAUAAUCUAGCAUUCAAAUGGGUUUAAAUAAAUACAAACAAAGAUUAUGUUGUUUUAAAGCAGUAAUUUUAUGCAUUAAGUAAUGUCGUAUCUAUCACAAUAAUCUACGUGUUAGCAAUAUUAAUGUGUAAACUUUUUUCUCAUCCCAUAUGUGACAAUUAGUAAGAAAACAAUCAAUUUACAAUAUCGCAUUCCUCAACAUCCUGAUUUGAUAGUUUAUAUUUUUUAUGAGUGAAUCUACCUUUUCAGUAUCUGAUUGUUCUGUGGUGGCCGAUUAUUAACACAAAUUUGACUGCUUAUAGCAGAAAAACUAAUAAUGACAAAAUGAAGGCUAAACCGAAAUGAUGAGAGUGAAAAACUUGAUAAGUCCAAUUGAUAUAGAGGAGAACACUUUGUACAACAUGUAAAUAAACAACAGUAGGUGAAGAUAAGAUCUUGAACAGAGAAGCUUAAGCCAACGCUACUGGUGGUUAAAUAGAGAAGCAUAUCAAUUAGGUGGCGGCAACUAGUGCUAUCAGUAGCAGCUAAUGCACCAGUUAUAAAAUUUGUAACUAAUUUUCAAUCAAUAUAAAUUGAUUGAUCAAGUCUUAUAUACAAUCAAAUUGUUAUUUGAUAUUGGAUGCAAUUUCAUUUGUAACCAAUUUUGUUGAUAAUUACAAUUUGAGAAGAAAUAUUGUGUUGUU